rnacentral:rRNA from 1 species
UUGUUAGUUGUCCAUCAUUCAGUUCGGGCACUCUAGCGAGACUGCCGGUAAGUAAAACCGGAGGAAGGUGGGGAUGACGUCAAAUCAUCAUGCCCCUUAUGACCUGGGCUACACACGUGCUACAAUGGUUGGUACAACGAGUUGCGAGUCGGUGACGGCGAGCUAAUCUCUUAAAGCCAAUCUCAGUUCGGAUUGUAGGCUGCAACUCGCCUACAUGAAGUCGGAAUCGCUAGUAAUCGCGGAUCAGCACGCCGCGGUGAAUACGUUCCCGGGCCUU